rnacentral:rRNA from 1 species
UACGAGGGGGGGCGAGCGUUGUUCGGAAUUAUUGGGCGUAAAGGGUGCGUAGGCGGCCUGACAAGUCUGAUGUGAAAUCCCCUGGGGCUCAACCCGGGGGCCUGCAUCGGAAACUGUCGGGCUUGAGUAUGGGGAGAGGUGAGUGGAAUUUCCGGUGUAGCGGUGAAAUGCGUAGAUAUCGGAAGGAACACCUGUGGCGAAAAGCGGCUCACUGGGCCUUACCUGACGCUGAGGCGCGAAAAGCUAGGGGAGCGAACAGG